CGAGUGGCGGACGGGUGAGUAAUGUCUGGGAAACUGCCCGGUGGAGGGGGAUAACUACUGGAAACGGUAGCUAAUACCGCAUAACGUCGCAAGACCAAAGAGGGGGACCUUCGGGCCUCUUGCCACCGGAUGUGCCCAGAUGGGAUUAGCUUGUUGGUGAGGUAACGGCUCACCAAGGCGACGAUCCCCUAGCUGGUCUGAGAGGAUGACCAGCCACACUGGAACUGAGACACGGUCCAGACUCCUACGGAAGGCAGCAG
rnacentral:rRNA from 1 species